rnacentral:rRNA from 1 species
CCAGACUCCUACGGGAGGCAGCAGUGGGGAAUAUUGCACAAUGGGGGGAACCCUGAUGCAGCGACGCCGCGUGAGUGAAGAAGUCAUUCGUGAUGUAAAGCUCUAUCAGCAGGGAAGAAAAUGACGGUACCUGACUAAGAAGCCCCGGCUAACUACGUGCCAGCAGCCGCGGUAAUACGUAGGGGGCAAGCGUUAUCCGGAUUUACUGGGUGUAAAGGGAGCGUAGACGGCAGCGCAAGUCCGAAGUGAAAGCCCGGGGCCCAACCCCGGGACUGCUCUUGGAACUGCGCGGCUGGAGUGCAGGAGGGGCAGGCGGAAUUCCUGGUGUAGCGGUGAAAUGCGUAGAUAUCAGGAGGAACACCAGUGGCGAAGGCGGCCUGCUGGACGAUGACUGACGUUGAGGCUCGAAAGCGUAGGGAGCAAACAGGAUUAGAUACCCCGGUAA